ensembl:rRNA 5S_rRNA 5S ribosomal RNA
GCUUACGGCCACACCUCCCUUAGCACGCCCCAUCUCGUCUGUUCUCGGAAGCGAUGCAGGGUCGGGCCUGGUUAGUACUUGGAUGGGAGACCGCUUGGGAAUACCUGGUGCUGUAAGCU